UACGUAGGGUGCAAGCGUUGUCCGGAUUUAUUGGGCGUAAAGAGCUCGUAGGCGGCUCGUCGCGUCGACCGUGAAAACCCGCAGCUUAACUGCGGGCUUGCGGUUGAUACGGGCGGGCUAGAGUUCGGUAGGGGAGACUGGAAUUCCUGGUGUGAGCGGUGAAAUGCGCAGAUAUCAGGAGGAACACCGGUGGCGAAGGCGGGUCUCUGGGCCGAUACUGACGCUGAGGAGCGAAAGCGUGGGGAGCGAACAGG
rnacentral:rRNA from 1 species